rnacentral:rRNA from 1 species
GACGAACGCUGGCGGCGCGCUUAACACAUGCAAGUCGAACGGAAAGGCCUGCUUUCCCUUGUGGAUUGCGGGUACUCGAGUGGCGAACGGGUGAGUAACACGUGAGUGAUCUGCCCCCAACUUGGGUAUAAGCCUGGGAAACUGGGUCUAAUUCCCGAUAGGACUGCAGGGUGGUGCCGGUGGUGGAAAACGAUUUUCUAGUGGUUGGGGAUGAGCUCGCGGCCUAUCAGCUUGUUGGUGGGGUAAUGGCCUACCAAGGCGGCGACGGGUAGCCGGCCUGAGAGGGGGGACGGCCACAUUGGGACUGAGAUACGGCCCAGACUCCUACGGGAGGCAGCAGUGGGGAAUAUUGCACAAUGGGCGGAAGCCUGAUGCAGCGACGCCGCGUGGGGGAUGACGGCCUUCGGGUUGUAAACUCCUUUCGACCGCGAGGAAGCCACCUGGUUGGAAGGGUGGUGACGGUAGUGGUAGAAGAAGCACCGGCUAACUACGUG